AAGGCUGAGGGCAGGCUGGAUCGCAGCUUGAUGAUCCCACACAGGAGCAAUCUGUCUUGCAGUUCAUAUGACUUCAGCCUCCGGAGAAAGUGUCUGGGAAACACAGUAUGUCUUUGAUGCCUGGACCGAGCAAGCCGGAUACGCGGCUGAAUGGUGGGAAGGGAGAGUGCUAGGACGGGCUCUGCAGCGGAAUCGCCUCAGACACUACUGACCACGAGAGCCAGAAGGAGAAGCGGACACUGCCAUUCAGCCUACAAGUAGCUGUAGAUCUGUUGCUCUCUCGAGACAUUAGGAAGCUCUGGCUAGUGUAAACGAAGCAGAUCCGCUGCCGGAGCGACACAGAGGGACAAGAUGCACUGACAAGGUGCCUGGAUAUCUAUUUUUCUGAACCAUGAUGAGUUUUGUUUUUUUUUUCCAACAGAGUCAGUAUUCCGACUGCUGUCCCACGUUGACACUUUUAUUAUCUGUAGCUCAAUUUCAUGGAGCAGAUUUGGUUUUCUUCUCCAAUCAUAAGAUUCUUUUCAAAACAAAUCAGCCUCACUCACUGGUGAUGCCUUUGCUUUGUCCGUUUUUCUGGGAGGACAUUUUUUGAGGACUGAAGCCUGGUGGCUCCGGGUGGAAUAAAAGUACUCAUUUUCUCCAAGAGGCCUCUGGUUUCACCCCUCUUGUUUCUAAAG